CAAGGACCAUCCAUUCUGAGUCGAACGUCUAGUGAUAAAACACACGCCCCACGGAUGGACUGAUUGGCAUAUUCUUCCGCUGCGCGGAAUGAAUGAAGCAUCGGGGACCGUCGUCGCCGCACGGAAAAGAGAGGCUUCAAGAAACUCAAUUCCUUCGACGUCCCGGCCGGUCUAUCUGGAGAUUGGAGGUUAAAGAAUAAUAACAGAACCAUUCCUUCAUUCCAGGCCUGGGAUGGUUAUGGAGUUCAAUUCAGCUGUGGCUUUGAGGGCUCUCCUUGCAGGUGGCUUAGCUAUAUUUGCAAAGGUGGGCGGGGCAAUGAAGGCUGCAGGAAGCAUGAAGGUGGGUGCAGCAGCAGCUGCUAUGUCUGCUGCUGCAACUGCAGCCAUUUCAGGAACCAAGCGAGAAGAAGAGGACGCUAGCAAACAGGCAGCAAUGUGAGAUUUUGCAAUUUAAGCCUCCCUCUUGAGUCAUGGGGGGCUAAACGAGCAGCACACUUGCAGGAAUGAUAAUUCCGAGUGGGAAUUUGUUCCAGCAUUUCUCAGUAGGAAGAUAUAUGGAUCUUAAGUUAAAUAUUUGAGCAAGAACAGAACAUUUUGUUUCAGUUUGGCAAGCUGGUUUUAGGCCAAGUCUUGUCAACCAGGCCCCACUUUAUCAACAUGCAAAAUAGUGCAAAACCUAGGACUGAACAAGCUGCAGUUGCAUUUAUCAUGUUCUCUUUUUCUCUUGAGC